AUAUUUGUAAAUAAAUUCAUUUUAAAAAUAUAUCUCUUGAACUAAAAAAAGUUUUAAAAAUAAAUAUUUUUUUCAAAGUUUGAUAGGACUCUUUUUUUCCCAAACAGACCUGCCAUCUGUAGUCCAGGUAAAUCCACAUUAAUACGUCACGUUUUGGAGCUAUAAUUUACAAAAUAUCACAUUUUGAAUUUUCCUUUUUAAAAAGCCAAAUGAAUAUCAGAUGUUGACCGUUUUCUUUUAAAUGG